AUUGAACGCUGGCGGCAGGCCUAACACAUGCAAGUCGAGCGGAGCGGCGGACGGGUGAGUAAUGCCUAGGAAUCUGCCUGGUAGUGGGGGAUAACGUCCGGAAACGGGCGCUAAUACCGAAUACUAUCAGAUGAGCCUAGGUCGGAUGUGCUAGUUGGUGGGGUAGAGCCCUACCAAGGCGACGAUCCGUAACUGGUCUGAGAGGAUGAUCAGUCACACUGGACCGGAGACCGGGUCCAGAUUCCUACGGGAGGCAGCAGUGGGAAAUAUUGGACAAGGGGCGAAAGCAUGCUCCAGCCAUGCCGCGUGUGUGAAGAAGGUCUUCGGAUUGUAAAGCACUUUAAGUUGGGAGGCGUGACCAACAGAAUAAGCACCGGCUAACUUCGUGCCAGCAGCCGCGGUAAUUC
rnacentral:rRNA from 1 species